rnacentral:lncRNA from 1 species
GGAUAUCUUGGGCAAAUGAAGAUAUAUUGUCACCCAACCUGUAACUGACACAGGACUAAUAUCCAGAAUAUAUAAAGAACUCUUAGGAAAACAAAAUAUUUUUAUUAGCCCUUAACAGAAGAAAAACCCAAAUGGCAAAUAAAUACAUGAAAAUGAACAUACUGUCCACCAGAUUGGCUAAUUGGAGAAGGUAUGCAUAAAUGAGCUCCCAUAUAUUGCUGGUAAAAACCACUAUGGAAAACUUUGGCAUUAGUUAGUGCAACUGACAAUAUACAUAUUCCUAUAUCCAGCCAUUCUAAAUCUUAAACAUAAAUAGACAAGUUGACAGCAGUAUAUUCAUAAAAAGAAAUACAAGGAGAAAAGAUACCUUUAUAUGGAAAAAACAUUGGUAAAAACAUUAAAGAAUCAGACAAAAGGAUAUGUAACAUACGUUUCUGUUUAUAGUUCCCAAACAGGCAAGAUUAUUAUAUUUUGUUUAGGGAUGUAUACAUAACUGUUAAAGUAUAAAGCAAAGCAAAGACAUCAUUGCCCACAAAGUUAAAAUAAUGGUCAGCUUUGGGAAGGGAGGGCGAGGGAUAUCAGUGAUUUGGUAAGCAGGGAACUUACUAAGUUUUACAAAUGUUCUGUUUUUUGAGUUGCAUUAUGAUUACAUGUGUCUGUUGUAAAAUAACUUGUUAUGCUGUACAUUUUAUUUUUGCACUGUGCUUGGACUAUACAGCAGCAAGAAGAAUAGGCAGCUACAUGUCUUCAUUCCCCAUGGAAAGAUUACAAGUAGAGACUGACUAAAGAAAACUUUAUGGGAACUCUGAAAGGCAAAGGUCUACAAGAACCAAGCUAAUGCCCAAUCAAGGAAAAGUCACAUUCAAAAUGGUAAGAAAUUUUGUGGUAGUUUUACUCAGGCUUGCCCCACCCUCUCCACAGUGUGGUAGUGUUGGGAGGAAGCAGCAGCCCAGGUACCAGUGACCUCCCUCAAGUAGGAGGGAGCAGGACAGAUCUUAUUUGCAACAUUUUGGGGGCUGCUGAAGAACUGGUCUCUGUUUUGCCUAACUUGGAGCUUGGAUGAGGAAAAGUGGUAUACUUAGAGCGCAGCCUUGGAAAAGCCAUAGAAAGUGGUGGGUAACUGAAAGCUGCAGGACUGCAGACCUAUGGACUAGAACAAGGUACAGGAAGACUCUUUGGAAAAGUAAAAAAUUUAAAAGCGUGGUGUAACAGAAUAAAAACAAAUACACACAGGGCCUCAGGCAAGACCCUUACCAAGCAAAGUCCUGGAGGGUCUUUGGGGCUUCAUCGUGGGAUGAUGCUAAAGGUCAGAACACAUCUUACUAGUGAGUGGAGGUCCCUCCUGGCAUGGAGCCAGUCUGCAAAGACUGGGAAACUUGGCUGUUUUUCAGAUGUCCAGUUUUCAACAAAAGAUCACAAGGCAUACAAAGAACAAAACAUGGUCUAUUCAUAGGAAAAAAUGUGCAGAAACUGUCCCUUAACCUAAAGCAUCAGAUGUACUAAAGACUUCAAAAUACACUCAAAGAACUAAAGGAGAACACAGAAAAACCAAACAAAAUUGGAAAUCAACUAAGAAAUUAUUUUAAGCACCAAAUUCCAACAGGCACUUCAGGACAGCUGACUAGAAGCAUUUAGUAGUUGCCGCCUCCACCAAGAAGAACCACAGUGGUGAGUAGAUAAUCACACUUCAAAUAGAUCAUCCAAGAGAGAAUACUGGAAGUCAACAGCAAAGGGAUAGGAAAUACUUAAGAAGGAAGUGGGAACGCCUGCCUGUCCAGGAAUGUCUAGCAGUCAAAAGGGACUCCCCAGUACAGGGAAAAGGUAAGUGACAGACCAUCAGCAGUCCACAUUUCUACCAUGGACUCCUGCAACCCUACCAUGGGAGAGCCCCUUGAUCGUCACAGGCCCUGAAAUUAACAUAGGGAGCUGCCAGGAGAUUAUACUAUGGCACUGCUUCAGGGAGGAAGCUCACACUGGGUUUCACACACACCUUAAGACGUAAGCAGCUAAAGCAAGGCACUGUCUUAGAGCCUCCCAACAGUAGACCAUGUAUGUUCUGGAACCCAGCAAUGCCAGGGCUUGAGGCACAAGAGAAGUAUGGCUGCUGCUUCUAGGGUUUAGGCAUGAGCAACCUUGGGCAGUCAUACCAGGUCUGAGGCAUGGGUGAGGCACAGGCUACCCCAGCAUAAGCUAUUGCAUGAGUGAUACACGUGUUCCCCAUCUGCUGGCCUAGGCUGCCCACCACUGAAGGCUGCUGCCACCUACCACCAAAGCAUUCCACAGGUGGCCACUACCAGCACUGAUGCACACCACUUGGACCCAGAUUGUUGUCCUACCACUAUUCCCGUCAUUGCCCAUGCCAUGCCAGCCACCCAGGGGACCAAGAACCUGCCUGACUGACUCAUUGCUGCCACUAUUAGCGCUUGAGUAAGCCACCUGGAGGCCCAAGAAUUAGCCUGCAUGGACCCACUAACACCAGUGCCAGCUUCCCUUGCCUUGAGCCAAGUGCAGACACAGCCCACUGUUGCCAGUAAUGGAGCCAAAAGACUAACCAACAUGGCAUACCAGGCCCCAGCAAAACAUCACCAAAGCCUCCACUAAUAACCUCACUCUAAGCCACCAAGGAAAUCACAGAUACCAUUGACUCCAUUUACUACUGAAUAAAUGAUACAGUAUGCUACUGCGUACACCCAGAAUCAAAGGGAAAGUGUCCUACCCAACCAGCAUCAUAGACACACCUUCAGGAAAAAGUCCUCUACAAAAGCAAAGUCAAAAAUUUGGAAGAAGCAACUGUUAUACCGAUGUAUAGAUAUCAACAUAGGAACAAAGAAAACAUGAAAAGUCAAGGAAAUUUGACAGCUCUAAAGGAACACUAAUUCUGCAAUAACAGAUUCCAAUCAAAAAUUCAUAAAAUCCAGGGGAAAAACUGAUUCUAAAGCAGCUCAGUGAGAUACACAAAAACUCUUAAAAAAAAAAAACCAAAAAUGUAAAGAUAUGAAUGAGAAAUUUACCACACAGAUCGAUGAUAUCAUAAAAAAGAAAAAAGCCAAUUCUGGAAUACAAGAAUUCAUUGGAUGAAAUACAAAAUACAUCCAAAAUCUUAAACAACCAAUUAGGUCAAGCAGAAGAAAUAAUCUCAGAACUUGAAGACAAGUCUUUUGAAAUAACUCAGGCAAAAAUAGAAAAUAAAAAGUAAUGAGCAAAAACUUCAUGACAUAUGGGACAACACAAAGCAAUGAAAUACUUGAAUUAUCAGGGUCCCAGAAGGCAAAGAGGGGAGAACUUUUCUAGUCUAGCAAGAGAUUUAGAUAUCCAGAUACAGGAGAUUCAGAGAUCCCUAAACAGAUAACAGUGCAAAAAGGUCCUCUCCAUAGCACAUUAUAGUCAAACUCAAAAGUCAAAGACAAGGAGAGAAUUCUAAAAACAAGAGAAAAGUGUCUAGUACCUAUAAAGGAACUCCCAUCAGAAUAACAGCAGACUUCUCAGCAGAAAUGUUACAUGCCAAGAGAGAAUAGGAUGAUGAUAUAUUCAAAAUGCUGACAGAAAAAAAAAAGCCCUGACAGCCAAAGAUACUAUAUCCAGAAAAAUUAUCCUUGCUAAAUAAAGGAAAAAUAAAAUAUUUCCUAGACAAGCAAAAGCUGAGAGAAUCACCACUACACCAGCCUUACAGAAAGGCUCAAGAGAAUCUUAAACGUGGAAGGGAACAGAUGCCAUUUACCAUCAUGAAAACAGGAAAGUAAAAAACUCACUGGAAAAGCAAAUGCACAAGUGAAAAGAACAAACUCACAUGGUACCACUACAGAAAACCACCAAACCACAAUUACAAUAAGAGAAAAAGAACAGGCCAGGCACAGUGGCUCAUGCCUGUAAUCCCAGUACUUUGGGAGGCCGAGGGGGGGAUCACAAGGUCAGGAGAUCAAGCCCAUCCUGGCUAACAUGGUGAAACCCCGUCUCUACUAAAAAUGCAAUAAAUUAGCCGGGCAUGGUGGUGGGCACCCAUAGCCCCAGCUACUGGGGAGGCUGAGGCAGGAGUAUGGCAAGAACCUGGGAGGCAGAGCUUGCAGUGAGCCGAGAUCGCACCACUGCACUCCAGCCUGGGUGACAGAGCAAGACUCUGUCUCUAAAAACAAAAACAAAAACAAAAAAAAAACAAAAAAAGAAUAUACAAAACAACCUAAAAACAACAGUAUGACAGAAACAAAACCUGACAUACUAGUAAUAACCUUAAAUGUAAAUCAGUUAAAUAUUGCAUUUAAAAGAUAUAGACUGCCUGAUGGGUAAAAAAACAUAACCCAACUGUAUGCUAACUACAAGAAAUGCACUUUACCUAUAGAAUUACAACAAAGAGAAGGGAAAACAUACUCCAUGCAAAGAGACAGACUCCAAUACAAUAAUAGUGGGGUGCUUCAACACCCUACUCUUAAGCAUUAGAUCAUCUAGACAAAAAAAAACAGCCAACAAAGAAACAUUGGAUUUAAACUGACCUUUGGAUCAAAUGGGCCUAACAUUAACACAGAACAUUUUAUCAAACAUUUGCAGAAUACACAUUCUUCUUUUUAGCACACAGAACAUUCUCCAAGAUAGACCAUAUUUUAGGCCAAAAAAAUAAGCCUCAACAAAUUUAAAGUAUCUUUUCAGACCACAAUGGGACAAUACUAGAACAUAAUGCUAAGAGGAAUUUUGAAAACUAUACACACAUAUAGAAAUUAAAUAACAUGAUCCUGAACAACCUAAUUAGGUCAAUGAAGAAGAAAUAAAAACAUUUAUUGAAACAAAUGAAAGUGGAAAUACAACAUCUUCAAACCUGUGGGAUACAGGAAAAGCAGUACUAAAAGGGAAAUUUAUAGCAAUAAAUGCCUGCUGCAAAAAAGAUUUCAACUAAAAACUCUAAUGAUGCACUUCAAGGAACUAGAAAAACAAAAACAAACCUAAUUGAAAAUUAGCAGAAAUAGGCCAGGAAUGAUGGCUCACGCCUGUAAUCCCAGCACUUCGGGAGGCCAAGGCAGGUGGAUCACGAGGUCAGGAGUUUGAGACCAGCCUGGCCAAGAUGGUGAAACCCAGUCUCUACUAAAAAUACAAAAUUUAGCCGGGUCUGGUGGCGGCUGCCUGUAAUCCCAGCUAGUCAGGAGGCUGAGGCAGGAGAACUGCUUGAACCCAGGAGGCAGAGGUUGCAGUGAGCUGAGAUCGCACCACUGCACUCCAGCCUGGGUGACAGACCAAGAGUCAGUCUCAGAAAAAAAAAAUUACCAGAAAUAAAGAUCAGAGGCGAAGUAAAUGAAGUAGAAAGUUAGAAAAUAACAAAGAAUCAAUGAAAUGAAGUUGGUUCUUCAAAAAAAAAACAAAACUGAUAAACUUAGCUAGAGUAAGAGAGAAGACCCAAAUAAAAUUAGAAAUGACGAAAGAGAUAUUACAACUAAUACCACAGAAAUACAAAACUUCCCAGACACUUAUAUGAACAAUAUGCUAACAAACUGGAAAAAUCUAGAGGAAAUGGAUAAAUUCCUGGACACAUACAACCUAACAAGAUUGAAACAGGAUGAAAUCAAAAACCGGAAGAGACCAAUAACAGGUAAUGAGAUGGAAGCAGUAAUAAAGUCUUCUGACAAUGCCCAGCACUGGAUGGAUUCACUGCCGAAUUCUACGAAACAUAAAAAAGAACUAAUACCAUAGCUGCAUGUGCUGGCAUGCUUGUAAUCACAGCUACUCUGGAGGCAAUCCCAACUACUCAGGAGAUUGAGGUAGGAGGACUGCUUGAGCCCAUGAGUUUGAGACUAGCGUGGGCAACACAGUGAAACCCCAUCUCAAAAAACAAAAACAAAAGUAAUACCAGUCUUUCUCAAACUAUUCCAGAAGAUUAAAGCAUCAGGGAUUCUUCCUAACUCAUUCUAUAAGGCCAGCAUUACCCUGAUUUCAAAAAGAGAUAAGGACAUAACAGCAACAACAACAAAAAAAUUGACAGGCCAGUGUCCCUGAUGACUCUAGAUGCAAAACUGAACAAAAUACUAGCAAAGUGAAUUCAAGAACACAUCAAAAAGAUAACACACCAUAAUCAAGUGGGAUUUACCUCAGGGAUGCAAGGAUGGUUCAACAUACACAAAUCAAUAAAAGUGAUACAUCACAUCAACAGAAUGAAGGACCAAAAGCAUAGGAUCAUCUCAAUAGACACAGAAAAAGCAUGUGAUAAAUUUCAAGAUCUCUUCAUGACUAAAGACUCAACAAACUAGGUAUAGAAGGAACAUGUCAAAAUAAGAAAGGCCAUAUAUGAAAAACCCAUAGCUAACAUCAUACUAAUGGAAAAGUGUUAAAGGCCUUUCCUCUAAGAAAUGGAACAAGACAAAGAUACCCAUUUUCACUACUCCUAUUCAACAUAGUACUGGAUGUACUAGCCAGAGCAAUCAGGUAAGAGAAGAAAAUAAAAGACAUCCAAAUUGGAAAAGAGGAAGCCAAACUGUCCCACUUGGCAUAUGACACAAUCUUAUAUUUAGAAAAUGAAAAGAAUCAACCAGAAAACUAUUACAGCUGAUAAGCAAAUUGAGUAAAGUUGCAAGAUAAAAAAGCAACAUACAAAAGUCAGUGACAUUUGCCUACACUGAUAAUGAAAUAGCCAAAAAGGAAAUCAAGAAAGCAAUUCCAUUUACAAUAGCUACAAAAAUAAUAAAAUACAUAGGAAUAUAUUUAACAAAGGAGGUGAAAAAUCUCUACAAAACACUGAUGAAUGAAGUUGAGGAGGACAAAACAAAUGGAAAGACAUUUCAUGCUCACGGAUCAGAAGAAGAAUGUUAAAGUGAGCAUGCUUCCCAAAGCAAUAUACAGAUUAAAUGCAAUCCCUAUCAAAAUACCAGUCAUUUUUUACAGAAAUAGAAAAAAAAAAUCCUAAGAUUCAUAUAGAACCAAUAAAGAGCUAGAAUAGCCAAAGCAAUCCUGACCAAAAAGAACAAAGGUGGAGACAUCACACUACCUAACUUCAAAUUAUAUUACAAGGGUAUAGUAUCCAAAACAUCAUGGUAUUGGCAUGAAAAUAGACACAUAAACCAACGGAACAGAACAGAAAACACAGAAUAAAUCCAUGUAUUUACAACCAGCUGAAAUCCUAGCACUUUGGGAGGCCAAGGUGGGCUGACUGCUUGAGUCCAGGAGUCUGAGACCAGCCUGGGAAACAUGGCAAAACCAUGUCUUUACAAAAAAUAGAAAUCAGCUGAGCAUGGUGGUGCAUGCCUGUCAUCCCAGCUACUGAGGAGACUGAGAGGUAGGAGGAGCACUUGAGGCUGGGAGGUCAAGGCUGCAGUGAGCUGUCAUCACACCACUGCACUCUAGCUUGGGUGAAAGAUUUUUUUUGCCUUAGUCUAGGGAAGACUUUAUGUCUAAAACCUCCAGUGCACAGACAACAAAAACAAAUGGACAUACCUGGUUAUUCCUUCCAGUAACAUAAAAAAUAGACAAAUGGGACUCUAUUAAACUGAAAUCUGCACUGUAAAAGAAACAGUGAAGACACAAACCUGUUGAAUAGGAGAAUAUAUUUGCAAACAUCCUCUGACAAAGGACUAACAGGCUACAUAAGGAACACAACAAUUUGUGAAAACACCAUUAAAAAGUGGGCAAAGAACUGAAUAGAUAGUUCUCAAAAGAAGACAUACAAAUGGCCAAUAAGUACAUUAAAAAGGCUCAACAUCAUCAGUCAUCAGGGAAAUGCAAACCAAAAUCACAGUGAGAUAUCUUAUCUCAGAAUGGCUAAUCAUUAAAAGACAGAUGCUGGCAAGAAGGCAGAGAAGAGGCAACUCUUACCCACUCUUGGUGGGAAUGUAAAUUAGUAUAGUCACUAUGGAAAACAGUAUGGAGAUCUCUCAAAAAACUAAAAUUAGAACUACCACACUAUCCAGCAAACCCAUUACUGGAUAUCUAUCCAAAAGGAAGGAAAUCAGUCUACCAAAAGGAUACCCUCAUUUACAUGUAUAUUGCAGCACUAUUCACAAUAGCAAAGAUAUGGAAUCAACCUAAGUGUCCAUCGAUACAUGAAUGGAUAAAGAAAAUGUGGUAUAUAUACACAAUGGAAUACUAUUUGGCCAUUAAUAAUGAAAUCAUGUCAUUUGCAACAACAUGGAUGGAACUGGAGGUCAUUAUGUUAAGUAAAAUAACACGGGCACAGAAAGACAAAUACAACAUGUUCUCAGUUGUGUAGGACCUAAAAACUUGAUAUCAUGGAGAUAGAGAAUAGAAUACCAGAGGUGGGGAGUGUGUGACUGGGAAAUGAAGAGGCUGGUGAAUGGGUACAGACUUAGAUAGAAUACAUCCUAAUGUUCACUAUUAGAGUAGGAUGAUUAUAGUUAGCAACAAUAUAUUGUAUAUUUCAAAAUAACUAGAAGCGAGGAUUUGAAAUAUUCCCAACACAUAGAAAUGAAAAAUAACCUGACAGAUACUCAUAUUACACGUGUAAUAUGUGUAAUACUCAUGAGUAUUACACAUAUUACAUAUUCUAUGUAUGUGCUCCAUAAAUAUGUAAAACAUUGUGUCAAUAAGAAAAAUAAACCAGAUUUCAUCACUGAAAAAAAUCACAAUUGAAAAAUUGACAAGAGACAUUUAACAGACUCAGAAUCAUAAACCUAGUCACUGGAAAUUGAUUCUGAGAAGCAAAAAAGAGAAAGGGAUAAAGAAAUGUGAACAGAACCUAAGGGACACCAUCAAGCAAACCAACAUAUGCAUUAAAGGAGUUCCAGGAGGAACAAAGACAGGCAGCAUGAUGGAGGAGACAAGGGCAGAAAACAUCAAAUUUGAAGAAAGACAUGAAUCUACAAAUCCAAGAAUUUCAUUAAAUUCCAAGUAGGAUAAACUGAAAGGGACCUGCACUAACACAUUAUAAUCAAACUGUUAAAGCCAAAGAGAGAAUCUUGAAAGCAGCAAGAGAUAUGACUUGUCACAUAUAAGCAAUCCUUAAUAAAAUUAUCAUCAGAUUUCUCAGCAGAUACCUGGGUAGCCAGGAGGCUGUGCCAUGAUAUAUUUAAAGUGCUGAAAGAAAAGUCUCAGCAAAGAGUUCCAUAUCUGACAAAACGGUCCUUCAAAAAUGACCGAAAUUAAGACAUUCUCCCAAAUGUCUUAAUUAUUUCGGGAGACAUGUCUCCCAAAAUUAAGACAUUCUCAGAGAAAGCAGCAGCUGGGGGCGAGUUCAUUACUACUAGACCUGCCCUUCAAGAAAUUCUGAAGGGAAUCCUAAAAUUUAAAAUGGAAUGCUUCAGAUAGUAACUGUAAGCCAUACAAAAAUAUGGAGAUCUAUAGUAAAAGUAAAUACAUGGACAAAUUGGUUGGUAUAAAUAUAACAGACUAUUGCAACUUUAGGCUGCUAAUGUAAUCUCUGUGUUAACCACAGAGAAAACAGUCCUAGAAUACAGAUCAAGGAAAUGAGAAUUAAUUACAAGAGAAAAAAAAUGGCUCAACACAAAAGGCAGUAAUGGAGGAAAUGAGGGGCAUGACACAUACAGAAAACAACGAAAUUACAAAGUCGGUCCUUCCCUACCAGUAAUUUCUUUUUUUAUUUUUUGAGAUAGAGUCUUGCUCUGUCACCCAGGCUGGAGUGCAGUGGUGCAAUCUCAGCUCACUAUACCCUUUCGCCUCCCAGGUUCAGGCAAUUCUCUGCCUCAGCCUCCCAAGUAGCUGGAAUUACAGGCAUGCACCACCACACCCAGCUAAUCUAUGUAUUUUAGUAGAGAUGACAUUUCGCCAUGUUGGCCAGGCUGGUCUUGAACUCCUGGCCUCAAGUGAUCUGCCUGCCUCAGCCUCCCAAAAUGCUGGGAUUACGAGUGUGAGCCAUUGCACCCCGCCCAGUAAUUUCUUGAAAUGUAAAUGAAUGGAACUCCAAUUGAUAGACACAUUUACAGAAUGGAUUUUUUAAAAAGAUUACAACUAUGUGCUGUCUACAAGAGACUCAUAUUUAGAUGGAAGGAGAUGCAUACGUUCAAUGUUAAAGGAUGGAAAAAACAGUAAUCACAGAGAAGUGGCUAUGCUAGUAUUAGACAAAAUAAGUCAAGCACUGUUUCAAGAGAAAAGGACAUUAUAUAUUGAUAAAAGGAUUAACUUACCAAGAAGAUAGAACAAUUAUAAGCAUCAUGCAUCAAAUAUCAGGGCUUCAAUAUAUAUAAAGCAAGCAUUGACAGACUUGAAGGGAGAAAUACUGUUCUACAAUAACAGUAAGAGAGUUUCAUACGCCACUUUUAAUGAUGGUUAAAACAACCUGACAGGAUCAAUAAGGAAACAGAGGAUUUGAACAAUGUGAUAGGCCAAAUGGACCUAACGUACAGAUCACCCAACAACCAGAGAAUGUAUACUUUUCUCAAGUGUACAUGGAUUAUUCACCAGAAUAGAUCAUGUUAGGCCACAAAGCAACUCUUAAUACAUUUUAAAGGGCAGAAAUGAUAAAGUAUCUUCUUUAAUCACAAUGCAAUGCAAUUAGAAGGAAAACUGGGAAAUCCAAAUGAACACACUUUUAAGCAACCAAUGUGUCAAAUAAGAAAUCACAAGGCAAACUAUAGAAUAUCUUGUGACAAAUGAUAGUAAAAUCACAAUAUGACAAAACUUACAGGAUGCCAUGAAAGCACUGCUGAAAAAGAAAUACAUAUUAAUAGCUGUAAACACAUUUAAGAAGAUCUCACAUCAACAACCUAAUUUUACAACGUAAAGAACUAAAACUAAACCCAAGGCUAGCUGAAGGAAGGAAAUAAAAAUUAGAGCAGAAAUAAAGAACAGAAACAUACAGAAAAAAAAAUCAACAAAACCAAGAGUUAAUUUGUCAAAAAGAUCAACAAAAUUGACAAACCUUUAGCUAGAUUGACAAAGAAAAAAAAAUAACUAAAAUUAGAGAUGAAAGUGAAGACAUUACUACCAGUUCUACAAAAAUAAAAAGGAUCCUAAGAAUACCAUGAACAAUUGUAUGCCAACAAAUUGAAUAACCUAGACGAAAGGGACAAACUCCUAGAAACACACAACCUACCAGGAUUGAAUAAUAGAGAAACAGAAAAUCUAAUUCAUCUUAUGAGGCCAGCAUGCUCCGGUACCAAAGCCAGAAAAGACACAAGACAACUACAGAUCAACAACCAUUAUGAAUGAAUAUUGAUUCAAACAUCUUCAGUGUAAUACUAGCAAAGCAAAUUCAACAGCAUAUUUAAAGGAUUAUUCACCAUGAGAACAUGGAGUUUACUCUUAGAAUGCAAGGUGGUUCAACAUAUGAAAGUCAGUGCAAUGCACCACACAUUAACAGAAUAGAGGGGGGGAACCACUUGAUCAACUCAUGCAGAAAAAGCAUUCUGACAAGAUACAACACCCUUUUAUAACAAAAACACUCAGCAAAAUAGAAGUAGAAGGAAAGUACCUCAACAUAAUGAAGUCCAUAUAUGAAAAACCCACAACCAAUCUCAUAAUAGUGAAUGGCUGAAACCUUUUCCAGUAAGAUCAAGAACAAACAAGGAUUUUUUUUUUUUUUUU